rnacentral:rRNA from 1 species
GGACAACUUUUGGAAACGAAAGCUAAUACCGGAUAGGAAGUAAUUUAAAGGAGCCUCAAAGCUCCGCCAAAGGAAGGGACUGCGUCUGAUUAGCUAGUUGGUAGGGUAAUGGCCUACCAAGGCGACGAUCGGUAGCCGGACUGAGAGGUUGAACGGCCACACUGGGACUGAGACACGGCCCAGACUCCUACGGGAGGCAGCAGUAGGGAAUCUUGCACAAUGGGCGAAAGCCUGAUGCAGCAAUGCCGCGUGAGUGAAGAAAGGUUUUUCGGAUUGUAAAACUCUGUUGUAUGGGAAGAACGGCUAUAAGAGGAAAUGCUUAUAGUGUGACGGUACCAUAUCAGCAAGGGACGGCUAACUACGUGCCAGCAGCCGCAAGUAAUACGUAGGUCCCGAGCGUUAUCCGGAAUUAUUUGGGCGUAAAGGGAGCGCAGGUGGUUAUGUAAGUCUGGUGUGAAAUUUUUGGGCUCAACCCAAAAAGGUCAUUGGAAACUGCAUAACUUGAGAGCAGGAGAGGUAAGUGGAAUUCCUAGUGUAGCGGUGAAAUGCGUAGAGAUUAGGAGGAACACCAGUGGCGAAGCCGGCUUACUGGACUGCAUCUGACACUGAGGCUCGAAAGCGUGGGUAGCAAACAGGAUUACGAUACCCUGGUAGUCCACGC